UUUUAAUUUAUAUAACAACGAAUUGUUAAAUAAUUCGUUUGAUUUUUUUUUGUUCUUUAUUCCUACAGUAUUUUUAUUACUCAUUAUCAGGAAUCGUGUUGAAAGUUAUUGCAGAGAUCUACUCAACUAAAAUGAGUCUAAAACCGUUCAAUAAGUCUCUCUCACUUGGUUCUGUGGAGGGUGGCAGCCCAGUGCCCCUGCCGAGAGGUCGUUCACCUUUCAACAGUAUUUUGUCAAGAGACGAUACAUCCGUAGCAGCGCGUGCAAUGUAUUUCGGUGCAAUAUGACGCCGUCGAGGUCAAUGCCCGUCCUUACUCCGGACUCAAGGAAGAAAAGGAAAAAAAAUAAAAGGACGAAGGUGAAGAAGAAUUAUUGAUGAUAAAAA